UUGUCCUACGGGACGCAGCAGUGAGGAAUAUUGGUCAAUGGGCGCAAGCCUGAACCAGCCAAGUCGCGUGAGGGAAGACGGCCCUACGGGUUGUAAACCUCUUUUGCCGGGGAGCAAGCCUGAGCACGUGUGCCCAGGCGGAGAGUACCCGGAGAAAAAGCAUCGGCUAACUCCGUGCCAGCAGCCGCGGUAAUACGGAGGAUGCGAGCGUUAUCCGGAUUUAUUGGGUUUAAAGGGUGCGUAGGCGGAUCGUUAAGUCAGUGGUCAAAUUGAGGGGCUC
rnacentral:rRNA from 1 species